rnacentral:misc_RNA from 1 species
GAACGAAUCCAACUCUUCUCUGCCUCUUACUUGUAUCUGCUAGCGGCGGCAGUGAAUCUAUCUCAAACCCUAAUCUCAACAUGGCGACGCCUCAGAUUAGUAAAAAGCGAAAGUUUGUUGCGGAUGGAGUUUUUUUUGCGGAGUUGAACGAAGUGCUUACAAGAGAGCUGGCGGAGGAUGGUUACUCGGGAGUUGAAGUUAGGGUUACUCCCGUGCGAACUGAAAUCAUCAUUAGAGCCACUCGUACUCAGAACGUUCUUGGUGAGAAAGGUAGGAGGAUCAGGGAGCUGACUUCAGUUGUUCAGAAGCGUUUUAAUUUCAAGGAAAACACUGUUGAGCUCUAUGCUGAGAAAGUCAACAAUAGGGGUCUCUGUGCCAUUGCUCAGGCAGAGUCACUGCGAUACAAGUUACUUGGAGGACUUGCUGUCCGAAGGGCUUGCUAUGGUGUUCUGAGAUUUGUAAUGGAGAGUGGAGCCAAGGGAUGCGAGGUGAUUGUUAGUGGAAAGCUCCGUGCUCAGCGUGCCAAGUCCAUGAAGUUUAAGGACGGUUACAUGAUUUCUUCUGGCCAACCGGUUAAAGAAUACAUUGAUGCAGCUGUAAGGCAUGUUCUACUAAGGCAGGGUGUGCUUGGUAUCAAAGUCAAGAUCAUGCUUGACUGGGAUCCUAAGGGUAAACAAGGGCCUAUGACUCCAUUGCCAGAUUUGGUGACUAUUCAUCCACCCAAGGAGGAAGAAGAGUUUGUUGUUCCUCCUCCUAUGAUAGCUGCUCCCGCCAUCGAGGUUCUUCCUGUGGCAUAAAAACCUGUGCUAUGAUGUUAUCUUCGUUCUUGAGAACUACUGCACUAGCUGGCUUGUUAUUUAUUUUCCUUUUUCACUGCCGAAUACUAGAUUUUACAUAGUGAACCGUUUUGCUCUAGUUUCUGUUAUGUAAGAUACUGACUGGCAAGCAUUUUUGUUAAUCUUCAUCUCCCCUAAUCUGUUGUGACUUUGAAAUGAAAUUG